CAGAUGUAUACAGUCAAGAUGGCGGCAAAGAUAACAAUAAUGAGGAUUUAUUCAUCUUGUAUCACGCCUAACUUUAGUGGAUCAUAACAUAUUCGGUCUCCAGAGAUGUUGGCUCCAGACAGGAUGCCGAUGGCAGAGGGGAAGAAAAUGGCAAACAUAUGGAAAAAGUCGGCAUCUGCUCCUCUCCAGUCUGGUUUCAGAUCCCCUGCCCCUCCUAAAAACACAGUGGUCUAUUGUGGAUUUCUAAGGGUUAAAGCAACAAAACAGGGAUGAAAGGAACCGAAU